GUGCUCACUUCGGCAGCACAUAUACUAAAAUUGGAACGAUAUGGAGAAGAUUAGCAUGGCCCCUGCGCAAGGAUGACACACAAAUUUGAGAGGCAUUCCAUAUAUAU
ensembl:snRNA U6 U6 spliceosomal RNA